CAGCCGCCACGGGAAUACGAAGGGUGCAAGCGUUAAUCGGAAUUACUGGGCGUAAAGCCUGCGUAGGCGGUUUGUUAAGUCUGUUGUGAAAUCCCCGGGCUCAACCUGGGAAUGGCAAUGGAUACUGGCAAGCUAGAGUGUGUCAGAGGAUGGUGGAAUUCCCGGUGUAGCGGUGAAAUGCGUAGAGAUCGGGAGGAACAUCAGUGGCGAAGGCGGCCAUCUGGGACAACACUGACGCUGAGGCACGAAAGCGUGGGGAGCAAACAGGAUUAGAUACCCCAGUAGUCCCUGUCUCUUAUAC
rnacentral:rRNA from 1 species